AACCCUUACCUCUUCCUCCAUGUUAAUUCUUCCGCGUUAUACUUACAAGCAAAACACAGACACCAUGAAGUUAUGGAUCUUCAUAAUCGCAGCUUUGGCAACCCUCUCCAUGGUGCUGUCAAAGCCCAUAACGUGUAAACCAUUUACACAAAUGUGUGUAUGUCAUGGAGAGAUAUGUUCCUUAAGUGGUGGUCCACCACCAGUGAACGAAUUUAGCAAAUAAAGCUUAAUCACACAAUAAACAUGUAUUUAUUUACAAAACUACAAAAGAUUACAAAUCGAUGAAAAUACAGAAAUAAAAGGUUAGAAAAGUUCUA